rnacentral:rRNA from 1 species
CAGCCGCCACGGUAAAACGAAGGGUGCAAGCGUUACUCGGAAUUACUGGGCGUAAAGCGUGCGUAGGUGGUGGUUUAAGUCCGUUGUGAAAGCCCUGGGCUCAACCUGGGAAUUGCAGUGGAUACUGGAUCACUAGAGUGUGGUAGAGGAUAGUGGAAUUUCCGGUGUAGCAGUGAAAUGCGUAGAGAUCGGAAGGAACAUCUGUGGCGAAGGCGACUAUCUGGGCCAACACUGACACUGAGGCACGAAAGCGUGGGGAGCAAACAGGAUUAGAUACCCCCGUAGUCCCUGUCUCUUAUAC